rnacentral:snRNA from 1 species
AAUUAUUUUUUAUUUAAUAAAAA